rnacentral:rRNA from 1 species
UACGGAGGGUGCAAGCAUUGCUCGGAAUUACUGGGCGUAAAGCGCGCGCAGGCGGUCCUUUAAGUCUGAUGUGAAAGCCCACGGCUCAACCGUGGAGGGUCAUUGGAAACUGGGGGACUUGAGUGCAGAAGAGGAAAGCGGAAUUCCACGUGUAGCGGUGAAAUGCGUAGAGAUGUGGAGGAACACCAGUGGCGAAGGCGGCUUUCUGGUCUGUAACUGACGCUGAGGCGCGAAAGCGUGGGGAGCAAACAGG